AGGACGAACGCUGGCGGCGUGCUUAACACAUGCAAGUCGAACGGAAAGGCCCUUUCGGGGGUGCUCGAGUGGCGAACGGGUGAGUAACACGUGGGUGAUCUGCCCUGCACUUUGGGAUAAGCCUGGGAAACUGGGUCUAAUACCGAAUACACCCUGCUGGUCGCAUGGCCUGGUGGGGGAAAGCUUUUGCGGUGUGGGAUGGGCCCGCGGCCUAUCAGCUUGUUGGUGGGGUGAUGGCCUACCAAGGCGACGACGGGUAGCCGGCCUGAGAGGGUGUCCGGCCACACUGGGACUGAGAUACGGGCCAGACUCCUACGGGAGGCAGCAGUGAGGAAUUUUGCGCAAUGGGCGAAAGCCUGACGCAGCGACGCCGCGUGCGGGAUGAAGGCCUUCGGGUCGUAAACCGCUGUCAGUGGGAAGAGAACGGACGGUACCCGCUGAGGAAGCUUCGGCUAACUACGUGCCAGCAGCCGC
rnacentral:rRNA from 1 species